UACGUAGGUGGCAAGCGCUGUCCGGAUUUACUGGGCGUAAAGAGCGCGCAGGCGGUCGGAUCAGUCGAAUGUGAAAGCCCCCGGCUCAACUGGGGAGGGUCAUUCGAUACUGUCCGACUCGAAGGCAGGAGAGGGAAGCGGAAUUCCCGGUGUAGUGGUGAAAUGCGUAGAUAUCAGGAGGAACACCGGUGGCGAAGGCGGGUCUCUGGGCCGAAACUGACGCUGAGGAGCGAAAGCGUGGGGAGCAAACAGG
rnacentral:rRNA from 1 species